rnacentral:misc_RNA from 1 species
AACGCACAUUGCGCCCCCUGGCAUCCCGGGGGGCACGCCUGUCCGAGCGUCAUUGCCACCCCUCAAGCCCGGCUUGGGUGAUGGGCGCCCGUCCCCGCGCCGCCGGGGACGCGCCCGAAAGGCAGCGGCGGCGCCGGCCGCGGUCGGAGCGCAUGGGGCUUUCGUCACGCGCUCGCGCCCGCGGUCGGGGCCCGCCGACCCCAACCUCCUCCGGUUGACCUCGGAUCAGGCGGGGAUACCCGCUGAACUUAA